GACGAACGCUGGCGGCGUGCUUAACACAUGCAAGUCGAACGGAGUGGCGAACGGGUGAGUAACACGUGUGUGAUCUGCCUUGCACUUCGGGAUAAGCUUGGGAAACUGGGUCUAAUACCGGAUAGUGCAAGAUGAGCUCGCGGCCUAUCAGCUGUUGGGUGGGGUAAUGUCCUACCAAGGCGUCGACGGGUAUCCGGCCUGUGAGGGUGUACGGCCGCAUUAGGCCUGAGGUACGUCCCAGACUCCGACGGGGGGCAGCAGGGGGGAAUAUUACACAAUGUGGGGAAGCCUGAUGCAGCGACGCCGGGGGGGGGAUGAAGGCCUUCGGGUUGUAAACUCCUUUCGACAGGGACGCGGUACCUGUAUAAGAAGCACCGGCUAACUACGUGCCAGCAGCCGCGGUAAUUC
rnacentral:rRNA from 1 species